GAGGCAGUGCUGUGAAGCCCUCCUCCCAACAGUGUGGCACUAUUUAACACGUGACACGCUUGUGAAAACAUCUGCACUGGCUGCCCAUCUGCUACCAAGCCAGUUUCAAGGUCUCUGCAUUGAUUGACAAAGCAGCUUAGGUCCAGGGUACUGCGAGGGUCACCUGAACCCUUAUAUCCCAGCUCAAUCAUUCAGAUCAUCUGCAGCGGGGGUUGUUGGUGAGGUUCAUUUGGCUGCGGCAUCGAACUGAGCCUUUGAUGUCAUCUUCCCAGCUCCUGGAAUGCUCUGCCUUCUAUCCCAGCUCUGAAAACUUUUCUGUUCCUUCAGGCUUAUGCAGGGAAGGAAGAAUGCAUCUUUCCACAGCAGAACGCCAAAGCCUGGCCAAGACGUCUCACGUUUCCUCCUUUGACUCUCCCUCGUCCACCCAGGUGCAGGGAUGGCAAUGGGCAGGUGAGGUCAGUGGGUCAAUGAAACUUCGGAGUUCCCUGUCCUCGCACAAGGAAGCGUGGCUUUUUGGAACAAUGUGUGAGUGUGUCUCUGUGUAUUUCAACACUAGGUUAAAGUGCUGACUGUGGGGCGGGCGGGCUCCACCCUUCGGCGGGGAGGAGACUGGCUCCUCCUGCUGCCCGGCUGAUAUCCUCGGCAGUCGUCCUGUUGACGACCGAACAGGAUGCUAGUCCUGAAGAGCUUCGUGGAACAGGGCUUUUAACAUCAAGAAAGAAGGUGAGGUGGAGAGGCUGGUAUCCUUCCCUGUGCCUGCCUCACCGGCCAGCUCUCUGUGAGUGCUUCUCUGGCAGUGUCUUAGCUGGUUGUUGUGUGCAAUGAUGGAGGAAGCAAUCAGCAAGAAUACUGCUGCAGAAGUGCUACACACUUUCAUCCCUGCUGAGCGUUUCCUCCUGCAGAGCCAAAGCGAAAGGACUCCUAUUCCUGGAAAUGGGAUGGGCCUCUGUUCAUCCCACACCUACUCUGGACAGCUUCUAUGAAACCAGGAGGACUUCAGAAGCUACAGAAAGCAGGUUCAGGGAAAGGAGGGUAGGGUUGUCAGAAGCACCCCAAGACCCUGAGGUUUUAGGACCCAAACCUGAGACCUAGGGGCUUCCCCCCUGGUGGUUAUGGGAGGUGGGGGUUAAUUGGGAGAGGGAAACAGAGGGCAGGCGCCACUCCGAGUUUCUGUGCUAUAAUUCAAGGCCAACUCCUGCCAAGCUGAAGCUUGCAAGCUGCAUGUGCACUCUUCUUAAUAAUUUUGUUAGUACAAUUUUGUCGUUUUCAUUUUAUAGUUAAAGGCACUCUCGCCCACCUGGAGAAUCAAGCCCUCCGACUGCCACCUGGAGGGGACCAGGCAAGCCUAGAGACUUCACAUCUGGAGGUCUGACAACCCUAGCAGAGGGGAAUCAUAGAAUCAUAGAAUUUUGCCCAAUGUGGGGCUUGGACACACGACCCUGAAUUUAGAGUCCCAUGCUCUGCCGACUGAGCUGUGUUGAGACUGGCUGAUUUCUCUGCCAUUAGACUUUAUUGCCCUGCUUCAGCUGCUCAUUCGGAAGUAGCACAGGAGCCCUGCUUGGGAAAAAAGGUGGCAGCCUUCUACAGGAUCUAAGGACAGGAGAGGCUGUGGGCAUGUAGGUGGGGUUAACAUUCAACAUAGGGACUUCAGAAGCUGCCUUAUACCACGUCAGACCAUUGAUCUAUCUAGCUCAGUACUGUCAACACUGACUGGCAGCAGCUCUCCAGAAUUUCCAGCAGUGGGCCUUUGCUCAUCCCUCCCUAGAAGUGUCCUGGAUAAAACCUGGGAUCUUCUGCAUGCAAGGCAGGUGCCUUGCCACUGAAUUAUGACCCCCCUGCUCAAUAGGGUUGCCACCUUUUCUUUUGUCCCGGCUCCUGUGCCUUUCAACAGCAACCUGAACACAAAGAAAUUAAGCUAGGGGAACCCUUGCCCACCACUUCUGUUUGUGUCAGUAAAAAAAAAAGUUAGCAAGCGUCAGCAUAUCAAUCAAGCUGAUGCUAAAUGCACAGGAGCGGGGUGGUGGGGUGGAGUUGGCAACCAAAGCCAUGUUUCUGGGUGAGAGGAACUAGUUCUACUCAGAGCAAACCCAUUAAAAUUAAUGGAGAUAACUAACUUAGGGCCAUUAAUUUCAGUAGGUGAUUAGCACUUAAUUGGAUACAACACUACAAUUUUGACAGGUUAAGCUUUUGCAGUUUGGGGGGGUGUGUGCUAUAUAUUUACUCUUUGGGGUGUAACUUGAUAGAAAGCAGCAACAGCCUAAUCAAGCGGCGAAACCGAUUGACUGAACUAAUUAAAAGCCUCAUAGUAGCAGUGGGUCAAUACCAGCAAUAUCUCGAGCAUAUUUAAAGAAGAUAAGAGAGUCUCUCUCGACUAAACUUCGGAAGCGAAUCAUGGGGAGCUGUAACAAGAAAUGGUAUAACCAGUUAUGCAGUAAGAACUCAAAAUGGGGCCAUCCGAGGUCUCCGCCCCCCCCCAAAGGCCAAUUAAUGGUGUGUUCUCCAUUGAUACCAAGUUGCAGCAUUAUGGACUUUUUGGUUUGGAGAAAAGGUGACAGGAUAGAAGUUUAUAAAAAUUAUGCGUGGCAUGGAGAAAGUGAAUACAGAAAAGUUCCUCUCCCUCUCUCAUAGCACCAGAACUCACAGACAUCCAGUGAAUGUUGAAAUAUUCAGGACAGAUAAAAGAAGGGACUUCUUCACGCAGUGCAAAGUUAAUCUGUGGAACUCACUCCCACAGGAGCCAGUGAAGGCCAUCCAACUAAAAGAGGGUGGGACUUCACCCUGGAGGCUACAUCGCUUCUGACCAACAGUGACAUGUUCUCUGUUGAGGCCAAGAAUUUGUGGGAGAUUUCACCUGGUACAGCAUGAGACUUUUAAUCUCAGGGUCGUGGGUUCAAGCCUCAACUUUGGCAACAGAUUCCUGCAUUGCAGGGGGUUGGACUAGAUGACCCCUGAGGUCCCUUCCAGCUCUACAGUUCUAUGAAAUUGAUUGCCCUCCUGGGAAAUCACAGCAUUCAAUGACUUAUAAAGGAACCCUAACCAUAAGAACAUAAGAAGAGUGUGUUGGAUCAGGCCAAUGGCCCACCUAGCCCAGCAUCCUGUUCUCACAUCGGCCAACCAGGUGCCUGUGGGAAACACGCAAGCAGGAUUCAAGCACCAGAGCGCUGUCUCUCCUCUCCAGUGGUUUCCAGCAAGUGGUAUUCAGAAGCCUUGCUGCCUCUUAACUGCAGAGACAGAGUGCAGCCAUCCUGGCUAGUAGCCAUUGAUAGCUCUCUCCUCCAGGAAUUGGUCCAGUACAAUAAUCCUGCAAAGCUGAGCCCAUGCAUCAAAAAUUACCCUCAGGGCUUAGUCAUCUGCAAAAGGCAGCUCCGGUGAGUGCUUGGCUAGGGUUUUUCCAGGAAUCUCAAGUGUCUGGCCAAAAUUGCAAUGAGUGGUUGCAGCAGAAUUGGUGCACAAGAAUAUGUUGACAAGCGUGUCUUCAGUACAAGAAUGUUUUCAAGGAGCAAAGGAUUGGCUGUGUCUUAAUGGGCAAGGAGAGGGGGGGAGGGAAAUACCCAAAUCCCUGAGAGUUCAGAAGCCACCCCCCACAGACUUUCAACAAGUAUAAUGAGGUCUAGAAACUUGCUUUGUUGUUGUUUUAAAAAAGGAAACAGAAUUGCAGGGAGCUGUCCCUUGUGCCAAAAACCACAUUUUGCAGGUUUUCUGAUAUACCUACAAAAUAGGAACAAGCCAUGCCUAACACAGGUGGAGGCAAAAGACAGCAGAGGUCACAUCCGCACCAUACAUUGAAAGCACAUGGCUUCCCCCAAGGAAUCCUGGGAAUGGUCAUUUACCCCUCACCGAGCUACAAUUCCCAGCACCCAUCAGAAACUACCGUUCCCACGAUUCUUUGCGGGAGGCCAUGUGCAUUAAAUGCGUGGCUGUGACCAGAGUCUUGGCUUAAUAAGACUGAUCUCUGCUGCUGCAUUCCAGUUCCACUUUCUUUUUAUAAUUCAAACGAGUUAUGCUUUGGGGAGGGAGGGUAGCAAUGGUUUCAACAGCUGCAGAAACCCAUCUGCGGCUCAAAGAAGUGUCAGGAACCGCAAGCCUGUGGAUUAUGUAUGGCCCUUCAGCUCUCUCUAUCUGGCGUUCAGGACUCAUCCUAAAUCAGGGGUCGGCAGCCUAAGGCCCAUGGGCCACAAGCGGCCCAUGGGGGUCGUUUAACUGGCCCAUGGACCCCCGCCGCCUGCGUGCAUGGAGCAGAGUGGGGACCGCCUUCCGUGACGCUGGCCGACUUCCCAUUGGCUGCAGGAAGGUCCUGCAGCCAAUGGGAAGCUGCGCACGACUCCUCUGCACCAGAAAUAGUGUUUGCGCAUGUGCACAUGCACUCCAGCCCACUGCAGCGUGUGCAGGACCACGAACUGGUCCAAGCCACAAAAACUUUGUCGGCCCCUGUCCUAAAUCAUGGCUCC